AGACCCAAGGUGGCAGCUCUCACUGCGGGGACCCUGCUACUUCUGACAGCCAUCGGGGCGGCAUCCUGGGCCAUUGGUGAGAGCGGUUCCUGUACCUCUGACCUCCCCUGGCCCCUGCAGCCUCCAGCCUGCCUGCCCUCACCCCUCCCUUCUCUGCAGUGGCUGUUCUCCUCAGGAGUGACCAGGAGCCGCUGUACCCAGUGCAGGUCAGCUCUGCGGACGCUCGGCUCAUGGUCUUUGACAAGACGGAAGGGACGUGGCGGCUGCUGUGCUCCUCGCGCUCCAACGCCAGGGUAGCCGGACUCAGCUGCGAGGAGAUGGGCUUCCUCAGGUACUGGGGGCCCUCGGAGGGGUGGCAGCCGGGAGGGGCUGGGGAGCAGGCCUAACCCCUGCCCCGCCCAGGGCGCUGACCCACUCCGAGCUGGACGUGCGAACGGCGGGCGCGAACGGCACGUCGGGCUUCUUCUGUGUGGACGAGGGGAGGCUGCCCCACACCCAGAGGCUGCUGGAGGUCAUCUCCGUGUGGUGAGGAGGGCAGCAGGCAGGUGGGGCAACACCUCGGACCCCCAAGGCACUCCCUCUCCCCGUUUUCCUUCCACCUGUCUUAACUGGUCUCUAUUUCCUUUCUUUCUGUGUCUCCAAUCCCAUCUCUCCCAGUGAUUGCCCCAGAGGCCGUUUCUUGGCCACCAUCUGCCAAGGUGAGACCCUAAAACUCAGAACCCUUUCCUUUAGGCCCUUGGGGAGGCCACGUCCCCUCAAGCUCCCCAGGAUGGGGCCGUGUACUUUCAGACCCCCUAGGGCAGGGCCAAGCCUGGGCUCUGGGGACCUGGGCUCCAGUCCCCUGUCGCCGCCCCGGCUGACCCCUGUCCCACAGACUGUGGCCGCAGGAAGCUGCCCGUGGACCGCAUCGUGGGAGGCCGGGACACCAGCUUGGGCCGGUGGCCGUGGCAAGUCAGCCUUCGCUAUGAUGGAGCACACCUUUGUGGGGGGUCCCUGCUCUCCGGGGACUGGGUGCUGACAGCCGCCCACUGCUUCCCAGAGCGGAACCGGGUCCUGUCCCGAUGGCGAGUGUUUGCCGGUGCCGUGGCCCAGGCCUCUCCCCACGGCCUGCAGCUGGCGGUGCAGGCUGUGGUCUACCAUGGGGGCUAUCUUCCCUUUCGGGACCCCAACAGCGAGGAGAACAGCAACGAUAUUGCCCUGGUCCACCUCUCCAGCCCCCUGCCCCUCACAGAAUACAUCCAGCCUGUGUGCCUCCCAGCUGCCGGCCAGGCCCUGGUGGAUGGCAAGAUCUGUACCGUGACGGGCUGGGGCAACACGCAGUACUAUGGCCAACAGGCCGGGGUACUCCAGGAGGCUCGAGUCCCCAUAAUCAGCAAUGAUGUCUGCAAUGGCGCUGACUUCUAUGGAAACCAGAUCAAGCCCAAGAUGUUCUGUGCCGGCUACCCCGAGGGUGGCAUUGAUGCCUGCCAGGGCGACAGCGGUGGUCCCUUUGUGUGUGAGGACAGCAUCUCUCGGACGCCACGUUGGCGGCUGUGUGGCAUUGUGAGCUGGGGCACUGGCUGUGCCCUGGCCCAGAAGCCAGGCGUCUACACCAAAGUCAGUGACUUCCGGGAGUGGAUCUUCCAGGCCAUAAAGGUGAAAGUUGGGCCCAGAUGGGAGACAGGGUGGAGAUGUUUGGGCCUCUAAUGGGGGAAGGGAGGCAGAGAUUUGUUUUAGGAGACCUACGCUCAGGCCUAGAAGAGGGCCCCCCUUGGAAACAGAUGGACUUUGAAGGGUUCCUGGGGAGGGGAAGCUAGUGGUGGGACGUGGAAGCCUCUCAGACCUCGGGAGCCCCCAGCUGUCUUUCCCCAGACUCACUCCGAAGCCAGCGGCAUGGUGACCCAGCUCUGACCGGUGGCUUCUCGCUGCGCAGCCUCCAGGGCCCGAGGUGAUCUUGGUGGUGGGAUCCAUGCCAGGCCUAGGAUGGGACGUUUUUCUUCUUGGGCCCGGUCCACAGGUCCAAGGACACCCUCCCUCCAGGGUCCUCUCUUCCACAGUGGCGGGCCCACUCAGCCCCGAGACCACCCAACCUCACCCUGCUGACCCCCAUGUAAAUAUUGUUCUGCUGUCUGGGACUCCUGUCUAGGUGCCCCUGAUGACGGGAUGCUCUUUAAGUAAUAAAGAUGGUUUUGAUU
rnacentral:sRNA from 1 species